rnacentral:lncRNA from 1 species
GUUCCUAUCUGUGAAGUGAGGGAUAACUCAGAGUUCCUGACGUUAGCUUUGACGUUCUAGAAUGCUGACCUCCUAGCUUUCUCCCAGGCCGCUCACUGGGACCGGAGCUGGUUCCUGGACCAUCCACCGCCAGCCUCACAAUGAUGGAAAUUGAGGAUGACCUCAGUGACUCCUGUUCUGUCCCUGCUGGAGGGUACCGCAGCC